CUCUGAGACAGGUGCUGCAUGGCUGUCGUCAGCUCGUGUUGUGAAAUGUUGGGUUAAGUCCCGCAACGAGCGCAACCCUUAUCCUUUGUUGCCAGCGAUUCGGUCGGGAACUCAAAGGAGACUGCCGGUGAUAAACCGGAGGAAGGUGGGGAUGACGUCAAGUCAUCAUGGCCCUUACGAGUAGGGCUACACACGUGCUACAAUGGCGUAUACAAAGAGAAGCGACCUCGCGAGAGCAAGCGGAACUCAUAAAGUACGUCGUAGUCCGGAUUGGAGUCUGCAACUCGACUCCAUGAAGUCGGAAUCGCUAGUAAUCGUAGAUCAGAAUGCUACGGUGAAUACGUUCCCGGGCCUUGUACACACCGCCCGUCACACCAUGGGAGUGGGUUGCAAAAGAAGUAGGUAGCUUAACCUUCGGGAGGGCGCUUACCACUUUGUGAUCCAUGACUGGGGUGAAGUCGUAACAAGGUAACCGUAGGGGAACCUGCGGUUGGAUCACCUCCUUA
rnacentral:rRNA from 2 species